rnacentral:rRNA from 1 species
GAUGAACGCUGGCGGCGUGCCUAAUACAUGCAAGUCGAGCGAACAGACGAGGUGCUUGCUCCUCUUACGUUAGCGGCGGACGGGUGAGUAACACGUGGAUAACCUCCCUAUAAGACUGGGAUAACUUCGGGAAACCGGGGCUAAUACCGGAUAUUAUAUUGAACCGCAUGGUUCAAUAGUGAAAGGCGCUUUUGCUGUCACUUAUAGAUGUAUCCGCGCCGCAUUAGCUAGUUGGUAAGGUAACGGCUUACCAAGGCAACGAUGGGUAGCCGACCUGAGAGGGUGGUUCGGCACACUGGCAGAGAGGAAGGCCACCGAGUCUGGAGGGAGGAAGCAGUAGGGACUCUUACGGGAGGCAGGAAAGAGGGACCGAGCACAGCGGGGGGAGGGAUGAAGGUCCUCGGACGGGAGAACUAUGUAAUUAGGGAAGAACAAAUGUGUAAGUAACUAUGAACGACUUGACGGUACCUAAUGAGAAAGCAACGGCUAACUACGUG